CGCGACAAUCUGCAGACGUUGUCGAAUUGAAGUGUUUAAAUUUGUCUUCCAUUUUACAAGUGAACCUCCGAUGCAGGAAGUGGGGUGUGUUGCGUCCCCAGGUGAUUUACUGCUGAGACCAACUGUGUUUGUAACCAGACAAGGAACCCAUGGCUGAUGGAGGAGUUGUACUGAAGGCCCUGCCUGGUGGAGGAGCUGGUGGAGGCCCUGCCUGGUGAAGGACGUCUGUCGUGGGACAGGACUCUGUCUGAGGAGAGCUGCUGGAGGAGCUGAGACGCUGGAGGACGACUAGGAAUCGACCAACAAGGAUUACUCAACGUGUUUCUGGAGCGGAGGCGAGCUGGUAGGGGAGCCGUGAAUCUGGAGGAUGACCAUCACUCUAUCAACAAGGAUUAAUUUAGGGCCAGACUCGCGCUGUUUGUUCCAGACCAGGACUCGGGCUGAGGAGAGCUGAUGGAGGAUCCAAGACUCUGGAGGACGACAUCACUCUACCAACCAGGAUCCUCAGACAAAUUACGUUUGUAACCAGACCAGGAAUCGGGAGGACUGAUGGAGAAGCCGUACAUCUGGAAGGCAAAUCCAGAGGACAACCAGGACUCUACCAUCAAGGUUUCCUUAUAAGUUUGCAUUAUCUGGACAUGGUGGACUGGGCAGACACACCUGAGCUGAACCUCACCUGAUCUUGUUUGGUCGGGGGUAGACACACCUGAGCUAAACCCGCCCUUAUCCUGACAUCCUGCUGGUCCCGUCUCCUCAGUUCAUCUGCGCCUCAUCCUCCAGAAGACCUGCUGAGCUCAGCAGUCUGAGGCUGAUGGAUCAAUGACCUCCAGUGGGAGUGAUCUUCUUGUCCCCACAUGUAACCGUGUGUUUCCACACGCCUUUCCCUCAUGUUUGUCACUAACCUCACUACUUCACUACUCUCUACUGCUUCCUCUUUUCUUCCUUCUCUGUGGUUCGAACCUUUACACGGAAGGCGCGUCUUCCUGCCCUCAGAGGGUUCAGCGUUAGGGUUGAGAGUCAGGGUUUAGAGUCAGGGACAGAGCUGGUCAGGGAGGACUGCUUUUACACAAACCUCUUCACUUCCUUUCGAAAUGGUGGUGACAUUUUGAAAAGAUUCAUUUGGGAAAAUGUUUUCCUCUGCUUUCCUUUACAAAAUUGUAUUAAAUUUCUGUCAAGUGUUUUUGUUUAGAUAUUAAAAUCCCACAUUGACUUCUACAUGUUUGGUGCGGUUCAUUUAAUUGUCCUUUAACUUGGUUAAUGUCAAGCUAAACUCCUGCAAUACAUUUAAUAUACAUGAUUGUUAUUCAGCAAUGUUCACAUUAUCCAUUUUGUAAAAAUAUGAAACCUCCAUAUUACUACUAAAUUCAAGCCUAUUCAUGUAUUUAACAACGUACAUCCCCCUGCCUCGAUUAAGCCCUGAACGCAGACCCUGAACCCAGACAUCCUAAUCACAGACCC